rnacentral:tRNA from 1 species
GGGGUUGUGGCUCAGUGGUAGAGUGCUCACUUCGCACGAGAGAGACCCUGGGUUCGAUCCUCAGCACCACA